UUUCUACUUGCAGACUUCCAAACAUUUACUGAAACCUUAAACUCUUACUGAUUCUUUAAACUGUCCCCAUUCCAGUUUUCUCUACAGCAAGUAGCUCUCAAUGUGUAGUCCUCAGAUGGGCAGCAUCCACUGGAAAACUGCUAGGAAUGCACAUUCUCAGGCCUCACCCAAGAUCUGCUGAAUCAGAAGCUCUGGGGUGGAACCCAACAACCUGCAUUUUAACAAGCCUUCCAGAUGACUCUGAAGCAUGCUCCAUACUGACAACUAAUGCAAUGCAUUAUGUCUUCAUGUGACCAGCAGCACCAACUGCAAGACUGUCUGUCACCUGAGUGUGACUUGCAACCAAGCACAUGUGGGAAUUCAGUGAAGGCCCCUGCCUUGACCUCAUUAUCAACAGGAACCAGCCAAAGACAGUGGUCACUCUUUAUCCAUGUAAAUAGACACCGUAAUUUAUUUUC
rnacentral:lncRNA from 10 species